rnacentral:rRNA from 1 species
GCGCACCAGGCGCGAAACCUCCGCAAUGCGGGAAACCGCGACGGGGGACCCCGAGUGCCGUGGCAACGCCACGGCUUUUCCGGAGUGUAAAAAGCUCCGGGAAUAAGGGCUGGGCAAGGCCGGUGGCAGCCGCCGCGGUAAUACCGGCGGCCCGAGUGGUGGCCGCUAUUAUUGGGCCUAAAGCGUCCGUAGCCGGGCCCGUAAGUCCCUGGCGAAAUCCCACGGCUCAACCGUGGGGCUUGCUGGGGAUACUGCGGGUCUUGGGACCGGGAGAGGCGGGGGGUACCCCUGGGGUAGGGGUGAAAUCCUAUAAUCCCAGGGGGACCGCCAGUGGCGAAGGCGCCCCGCUGGAACGGGUCCGACGGUGAGGGACGAAGGCCAGGGGAGCAAACCGGAUUAGAUACCCCGGUAGU